rnacentral:rRNA from 1 species
CGCUGGCGGCGUGCCUAAUACAUGCAAGUCGAACGGUCUUUCUAUGGAAGCUUGCUCCACUGAGAAGAUAGUGGCGAACGGGUGAGUAACACGUGGGUAACCUGCCCAUAAGAGGGGGAUAACAUCCGGAAACGGGUGCUAAUACCGCAUAGUUUUCUUGAUCGCAUGAUUGAGAAAGGAAAGACGGCCUUUGUGCUGUCGCUUAUGGAUGGACCCGCGGCGUAUUAGUUAGUUGGUGAGGUAACGGCUCACCAAGACGAUGAUACGUAGCCGACCUGAGAGGGUGAUCGGCCACAUUGGGACUGAGACACGGCCCAAACUCCUACGGGAGGCAGCAGUAGGGAAUCUUCCGCAAUGGACGAAAGUCUGACGGAGCAACGCCGCGUGAGUGAAAGAAGGUUUUCGGAUCGUAAAACUCUGUUGUCAGAGAAGAACAAGUUGGAGAGUAACUGCUCCAGCCUUGACGGUAUCUGACCAGAAAGCCACGGCUAACUACGUGCCAGCCGCCGC